GACGAACGCUGGCGGCGUGCCUAAUACAUGCAAGUUGAGCGCUGAAGGUUGGUACUUGUACCGACUGGAUGAGCAGCGAACGGGUGAGUAACGCGUGGGGAAUCUGCCUUUGAGCGGGGGACAACAUUUGGAAACGAAUGCUAAUACCGCAUAAAAACUUUAAACACAAGUUUUAAGUUUGAAAGAUGCAAUUGCAUCACUCAAAGAUGAUCCCGCGUUGUAUUAGCUAGUUGGUGAGGUAAAGGCUCACCAAGGCGAUGAUACAUAGCCGACCUGAGAGGGUGAUCGGCCACAUUGGGACUGAGACACGGCCCAAACUCCUACGGGAGGCAGCAGUAGGGAAUCUUCGGCAAUAGACGAAAGUCUGACCGAGCAACGCCGCGUGAGUGAAGAAGGUUUUCGGAUCGUAAAACUCUGUUGGUAGAGAAGGACGUUGGUGAGAGUGGAAAGCUCAUCAAGUGACGGUAACUACCCAGAAAGGGACGGCUAACUACGUG
rnacentral:rRNA from 1 species